GCAGCCACCUUUUAAAACGCGUCAAAGCGUAACCUUAACCCCCCCAAAUUCCAUUAAUUUUCAUGAACCCCUAAUUUAUAAUGAAUGACUCCAUAUUUAUAUGGAAGACACCAUGCUAGGAUUAGUAACAAGAAUUUAUAAUUCUCCAAAAUGCAAAUAUAAACCAACAUGGAUGGACCAUUGGUAGUUACCGAACCUAAAUUUUAUGCAAUAACACCCACAAGAAAACUCUGCAGUACUUACUCGUUAACCUAACACCAGCGCAUUACAGGAAAGAUUAAAAAAAAGAGAAGGAAUUCGGCAAAUGACGGCCCCGCCUGUUUACCAAAAACAUCGCCUCUUGACUUAUAAUAAGAGGUCCAGCCUGCCCAGUGAAUUUUAAACGGCCGCGGUAUCCUAACCGCGCGAAGGUAGCAUAAUCACUUGUUCUUUAAAUGGGGACUCGUAUCAACGGCAUCACGAGGGUUUUACUGUCUCCUCUUUUUAAUCAGUGAAAUUGAUCUUCCCGUGAAGAAGCGGGAAUAAAUUUAUAAGACGAGAAGACCCCAUGGAGCUUUAAACCAAGUAACAACUUAACCACUUAUCCCAUAAUAAAUUUAAACCCUGUUAUAAGGUUUUUGGUUGGGGUGACCGCGGAGUAAAGCACAUCCUCCACGACGGAAAGAACAAAAUCUUUAUUUAAGAACCACACUUCUAGAAAUUAGUAUACUAACGUUUACUGACCCGACAAUCGAUCAACGGACCAAGUUACCCUGGGGAUAACAGCGCAAUCUACUUCAAGAGCCCAUAUCGACAAGUAGGCUUACGACCUCGAUGUUGGAUCAGGGUAUCCCGGUGGUGCAGCCGCUACCGAAGGUUCGUUUGUUCAACGAUUAAAACCCUACGUGAUC
rnacentral:rRNA from 1 species